AACGAACGCUGGCGGCAGGCCUAACACAUGCAAGUCGAACGCCGUAGCAAUACGGAGUGGCAGACGGGUGAGUAACGCGUGGGAACAUGCCCUUUGGUUCGGAAUAACUCAGGGAAACUUGAGCUAAUACCGGAUAAGCCCGAGAGGGGAAAGAUUUAUCGCCGAAGGAUUGGCCCGCGUCCGAUAGCUAGUUGGUGGGGUAAUGGCCCACCAAGGCGACGAUCGGUAGCUGGUCUGAGAGGAUGAUCAGCUACACUGGGACUGAGACACGGCCCAGACUCCUACGGGAGGCAGCAGUGGGGAAUAUUGGACAAUGGGCGCAAGCCUGAUCCAGCCAUGCCGCGUGAGUGAUGAAGGCCCUAGGGUUGUAAAGCUCUUUCGCCAGGGACGAUAAUGACGGUACCUGGAUAAGAAGCCCCGGCUAACUUCGUGCCAGCCGCCGCUGUAA
rnacentral:rRNA from 1 species